rnacentral:lncRNA from 1 species
AGGUGAUAUCCUGUGAGAGGCUGGGAAGGGGAGUGUCCGUUUGAGCUGGAAGGCUGCCUGGAGGAGGUGUGGCUUGAACUGGGCUUGAGCAGUGGGAAGGAUUUGGAGAGCGGAGGAAUGAAGGAGAGCAGAGAGGAGAGGCUUGGAGAAAAAUGAGAAGUCUCUCCAGCCCCAAUGACGGCAAGCACCCUGGAGCUGAGGGGGCUGAGUGGCGGCUGUGCCCUUUGGACAGGCAGCAGCUCCCAGUUUUCUCACCUAGGGGUAGCUGGUGGCCAAGAGGAAAGAGGAGUUGUCCAAAGUAAUUGAGGACUGGAAGAGUUAAACCUUUGGCCUAAGAUUGGGGCAGAGCUGGAACCAACCAAGAACUUCUGAUGCUAGUGCUUGUGAAAUCCUGACAAGAUAAGAAAGCAACAAGGAGGAAGGAAUUCUAGGUGGGGGAGAACAAUUGCUCUGGGAGACAGCUCAUCAAAAACAACCUGCUAGCACAACAUCCUGUUCCCAAAACCCUGUUCCACAUGUAACCUUUCCAGCACAACCUUAUAAAACUUCCCUCCAGCCCCUUUGCAGGCAGCCCCUUCUCUGCUGUGCUGCCCUUUGCACCCUUGCAACCCUUU